rnacentral:lncRNA from 1 species
AUAAAUCAAACACAAAUAUAUUUAUAUGACCAAUAUAGCAUAUUCAACACAUAUUACCAAUAGUCAUGAACACAUAUGUAUCCAACACAUGUUACCAAUAGUAGCAAGUUUCAUCCAUACAUAUACAUAGUUUCAUCAAUAUUACACAGUUUCAUCUAUAGGUAGCAAGUUUCACAAGGUCAAAACAAAAACUAAAUACAAGCACUCCAUCAACCCAAGCUUCCGUGAUCUUAAGCAAAUCUGUAAAAUGGAAAAGAAGAAAGUUAGAAGAAGAAGACUAGAAGAAGAAGAAGACUAGAAGAAGAAGAUUAUUAUGAUGCAACUAAAAUGUGAAGAUUAUUAUGAUGCAACUAAAAUGUGAAGAUUAUUAUGAUGCAACUUAUAUCUGUAAAAUAGGUCAUUUUGGAGCUAAGUAUGGUUAUUAUGUCAUUUUUGAGCUAGCUAAGCAUACUAAGUCAUUUUGGUGUAAAACAUGCUAAGGUCAUUCUAGAGCUAAGUAAGUUUAUUAUGUCAUUUUGGAGCUAGCUAAGCAUGUGAAGUCAUUUAGGUUAUUUUGGAGCUAAUUAAGCUUAUUAUGUAAUUUUUUAGCUAGCUAAGCAUAUUAAGUCAUUUUGGAGGAAAAAUGCUAAGUAUAGGUCAUUUUAGAGCUAGCCUAGGUUGAAUAGGUCAUUUUGAAGCUAAGUAAGGUUAUUAUUUCAUUUUGGAGCUAGCUAAGCAUAUGAAGUCAUUUAGGAGCUAAAAUAUGUCAUUUCUUAAGCAUACUAUAUCAUUUUAGAGCUAGCUAAGCAUAUUAAGUCAUUUUGGAGGAAAAGAUGCUAAGUAUAGGUCAUUUUAGAGCUAUCCUAGGUUAAAUAGGUCAUUUUUAAGCUAGCUAAGCAUAUUAAGUCAUUUUGGAGGAAAAAUGCUAAGUAUAGGUCAUUUUAGAGCUAUCCUAGGUUAAAUGCUAGGUUGUAUUUCUUUACAGAGGGGGUACUAGUCAAAGUCAACCAAUUUCGUCAUGUCAUGGUGAGCUGCACCGUGAGCAGUACAUGGCUCUACCUAUCAAAACAAGAAAACAUACUUCUUGGACCCUGAAAACAACGGACAACGGUUCUUCCACUUGAAAUCAACACCAUGGCUCACAGGCAGAAUACUGGCAGUAAUAAUCAAAUAAACUAUACAAGGAGUUGUUUCGAUUCCACAACAAGGAUCAAAACAUGCACAACCAUGUCUUAUGUUGCAACUGAACAACACAUACUACAGCCAUCAAAACCAGCAGAUUGACAGGUUAGAGUCAAUCCCACCAUCUCAUUUACUCCUCCCUUCCCUUGAGAAAAACAAAAUUCUUUACAAAUAUAAUAGCCAACACAUGGAAUAUAUUUGUUGUGCUCUAAGCAUCUCAACUCAGCGCCAGUAGUGAUGGCACAACACACAUACCUUGGUUUUUACAUGCUCUUUCUCCUUGACAUCCUUAUUAUACUUGUCUUUGUGGAAGUCCAUGAUCUUGCAAGUAGGAUGGUCCUAUUUCCGAUGGACCUGCAUGGGCGGCGACAAGAUAACCAUGAGAAAUGGAAAUGCUGACAGUCGCGCACAAACAAUCGAAAAAGAAUCUCAAGAAAAUGCUAAAACUUGGGAUCAAACAAUUGAAGAAGGAAAUGCAGCACUACCUCAACCAGGUGCAAGCCCAUCCUGGAUACAACUUUAUGCCCUCGGUACAACAUUAUGAUCUGCAAAGUUGAAACAUGAUAUGUGAAAGCCUAUGAUCUUGCAAAUCAACAAUAUAACAUGUUUGUUAACGCACAACAAGGAAGCUUCAGUUCAAAAUUAUAUGAUGUCGCACACUUUCAAACGUGGCUCUGUUCUAAGCAUUCCAACUCAGCUUCAGUUGUGGUGUGACGACAAAUUUACCCAAGCAGGAUGAUUUUAUCACAUACCUUGUUAUUUUAGGCGAUCUUUCUCCAUGGCAUCCUUGGUAUACUUGUCUUUGUGAAAGCCUAUGAUCUUGGAAACAGGAGGGCCUGAUUUCCCAAGGACCUGCACAUGCGGUAACGAGAAAACCAUGAAAACAGAAAUUCCGACAGUUGCGCACAAGCAAUUGAAAAAGAAUCUCAAGAAAAUGGCAACACUUGGGCACAAACAAUUGAAGAAGAAGGAAAUGCAGUGGUACCUCAACUAGGUUCAAUCCCAUCCUAGGAGCCAUUCAAAGACAUCCUGGGCACUACAUCAUGCCCUGCAAAAAAUAAGAAGCAUGCCAUGUUCAGCAUCUGAAUGUUGAACCAAGCAGGUUCAGGUUUGUGCAAUCCCGUGUCAAACUCCCUAGUAGAUGCAUUGAUAGUUGUACAUUUGAUAUAUGGUUAAUUUAAAGCGAUCGCCAUCACCAAAAAAACAAAUAUUUUAGGUGAGUUAAACAGUGCAAAUCACAGUGGACACAUGAAUCAUGCAGAUGUGAUCCUACCACUUCACUUGUCCAAACUUAAGAUGAUGACUACACACAAACACACACACGCACACACAUAUGCUUGGUUGUUGCCAAGUAACCAAGCAAGUUUAGGUUUUAUUUUUUUUUUGAUAAAUCUCCUCCUAAAAGAAAACAGCAUGCCAACUAAUUUACUUGGUACAUGCAAUGCUUGAAUACAAAUAGCCCUCCGGUGAAACUAAAUGAGGGAGAGGAAAAUUGGGUGGUUUGAGUCGCAAACUACACAACCUUAGGAACCAUGAGCUGCACAUCAUUUAGCAAAUGAGUUGAGGCUAGUGCACUGUGCCAUGGAUUGCAAUUUGCAGAAAUUGGACUAGAGCAGAGGAGUGGUAAGAAGUAGAGAAGAGUAGGGGGCAGUUACCUUGUGCGGUGCCCCGUCGUGGUCGAGCUCAAUGUACCGGUCCUCAUCCUCCCCUACAUCAUGGUCAUCCCCGUCCAUAGAGGGUGCCUUCCUGCUGCAAGGAAUUGAAGAACGCAAAUCAGUCACACUAGAGCGAGAGAGGACACAUACACACAAGCAUAAAAGCAGUGAAUAGCCAGUUGUUCUCUGGAUCGAUGGCCAUGAAACAGAGCAGAGAGCAGCAUGGUGUGGUAGAGAAAGGAGAGGAGAUGCGGUAUGUAGCUCACUGUGGCGGUUUGCGCAGUCAAUGCCGAAUAAUAGCGCGUCCCCCCUCCGUGGGUUGCGACCUUGACUGGCAGGCAUGAUCAAGUGAGGCCCUUGUCCUCUGCUGUAGGGAUGAAAUCUUUCCUGCUGCACAAUAAGAGGAUUAAUCUUGAGUUCAAAUCAUAAAACAAACAAAUCUUGCCGCCUCCACGCAGGGGAGGGGCCGAGGUUGAGACGGGAAAAUCUUGCCUGCUCUCAUAUGAAAUGAGAAGAAGGGGAGCCUUGGCGCAGUGGUAAAGCUGCUGCCUUGUGACCAUGAGGUCAUGGGUUCAAGUCCUGGAAACAGCCUCUUACAGAAAUGUAGGGA